rnacentral:rRNA from 1 species
UAGCCAUUAGAAAUGGUGGGUAAUACUGUAUAAUCCACGAGGGGGAAAGAUUUAUCGCUAUUAGAUGAGCCUACGUUAGAUUAGCUAGUUGGUGAGGUAAUGGCUUACCAAGGCUAUGAUCUAUGGCUGGUCUGAGAGGACGAUCAGCCACACUGGAACUGAGAUACGGUCCAGACUCCUACGGGAGGCAGCAGUGGGGAAUAUUGGACAAUGGGCGAAAGCCUGAUCCAGCUA